CAACUCUGAGCGGUGGAUCACUCGGCUCGUGUGUCGAUGAAGAGCGCAGCCAACUGUGUGAAUUAAUGUAAACUGCAU
rnacentral:rRNA from 1 species